rnacentral:rRNA from 1 species
UAGGGAAUCUUCCGCAAUGGACGAAAGUCUGACGGAGCAACGCCGCGUGAGCGAAGAAGGUCUUAGGAUCGUAAAGCUCUGUUGUCAGGGAAGAACAAGUGCCGUUCGAACAGGGCGGUACCUUGACGGUACCUGACGAGGAAGCCACGGCUAACUACGUGCCAGCAGCCGCGGUAAUACGUAGGUGGCAAGCGUUGCCCGGAAUUAUUGGGCGUAAAGCGCGCGCAGGCGGUUCCUUAAGUCUGAUGUGAAAUCUCGCGGCUCAACCGCGGGCGGCCGUUAGAAACUGGGGAACUUGAGUGCAGGAGAGGGGAGCGGAAUUCCACGUGUAGCGGUGAAAUGCGUAGAGGUGUGGAGGAACACCAGUGGCGAAGGCGGCUCUCUGGCCUGUAACUGACGCUGAGGCGCGAAAGCGUGGGGAGCGAACAGG